CAGUUACUCCCGGAAGCGCCGGGACGGGUGGUGAGGGGCCCGGGCGGAAUGGCGCGCCUUAGAGCGGACGGUGUUCGUGCUGCUUUCCGUGCCGUGGUUUCUGAAAGGCGAGACGCCCCUCCUGUGCUGUCCUCAGAAGGGCUCUUCAGAGACCGCACCCCUAGUUUGCGGAGCAGCAGAGCCUGCCCCAGUCUGGACUAGGGACUUUAUUUCUUCCACUCUCACCACUGGCUGAAGGCAGACUCCUGUCUCCACAGACUAAAGAGGAAUUAUCAAAAUGAGCUCGAAACUCUAGAUUUGAGUUAAGUAUCAUAAAUUAACACAGAGAAAUACAACUUUAACACAAAGACCUGUUUGGAGCCCCAGGUGGAAUUAAAAAAAAAAAAAACUUGAACAGAGGGAGUGAUAAAGUUUUCCUUCUUUUGCCACCCUCUCUCGGUGGUCCCAAGCUUUCUCAUCUCCCACCUCACAAGACUGUAUCAACUGCUUUGAGACUUUUAGAAUAAAGAUCCCCAGGCAUAUCACUGCUGUUACCCUGUGAGGAUUUCCCCAGUGCUGGGUUAGACUAAGACAGAAUCCUUCCAAGGCUUCCAGGGCCAGUGUACUGGACGGUCAGCACAGGGAGCCUCAGAGCCCACUUCAUUUUUCCUGCAGUUGGGCACGACCCCAGGGACAUGACCCUUGAGAGUGCUGACACUUCCUGAAGCCAGUGACCCUCCCCCUGGGCUUCUCUCUGCCUGGGUCUCAGAGUCUCUGAGGCCAACUUGUACCCUCGGAAGUGUUUCUGCUGAAGGACACGUAAACAGCACUGUGGAUUUGUGUCCUGCAGUCUGCAAAACUGCCUCCCCUGAGUGGGGUGAGGAGCUACUGAAAUACUGAAAUCACUGAAACUAGCAGAAGCCACAGUUCAUGGUCCUGGGAGAAAACUGGGAAGGACGGAGAGGUGAAGAGGCUAUAAAGGCCCAGUCGUGAAGGCGACCAUGGGCCAGGAUGUCCGGAAGUCGCAAAGCUGACCAAUGCUGAGUGCCCUAAAACCUGCCACUCCUGUGCCCAUCUUUUCUUUCAAUGGACAAAGUCUUCCCCUGCUCU